AUUGAACGCUGGCGGCAGGCCUAACACAUGCAAGUCGAGCGAGCGGCGGACGGGUGAGUAAUGUAUGGGGACUGCCCGAUAGAGGGGGAUAACUACUGGAAACGGUAGCUACUCACGCAUACUAUCGGAUAACCCAUAUGGGAUUAGCUAGUAGGUGAGGUAAUGGCUCACCUAGGCGACGAUCCCUAGCUGGUCUGAGUGGAUGAUCAGUCACUGUGGGACUGAGACACGGCCCAGACUCCUACGGAGGCAGCAGUGGGGAAGAUUGGACAAUGGGCGCAAGCCUGAUGCAGCCAUGCCGCGUGUAUGAAGAAGGCCUUAGGUGUGUAAAGUACUUUCAUUCGGGAGGCGUUACCGACAGAAGAAGUACCGGCUAACUCCGUGCCAGCAGCCGCGGUAAUUC
rnacentral:rRNA from 1 species